UUCUCUAAUGGCUUUGGUUGUAAUAGAUUGUAGAUCCCGCUGAGAUUGAGAAAAUGGUGGAAAAGGUGUUGUCAGAGAAUCCAAAGCAGCUGGACCAAUAUCGUGGUGGAAAGACUAAGCUGCAAGGUUAUUUUGCUGGCCAGAUAAUGAAACUAUCGAAAGGAAAAGCAAAUCCAGGGCUUCUAAACAAGAUUCUGUUAGAGAAAUUAAAUGCCAAAAGCUGAUACAGUUUGCUACCAGAUGAUGCAAUGACCUGGCCCCGAACUUCAAACCAGAUGUAUUCAACUCUAGUGAAUUUGAUCACACUGGAAGGGCCGUUACACUAUGUAACAUGAUUUAUACAGCGGAAGUCUAUUUAGACUUUGAUGUGUUAGUUGACAUCUCUCCUUCUGAACCAGUAAUUGACAGCCGCUUGAAAAUCUAUGUGCCCUAUCUGGAGAGCCUAGCUAGAAGUGAUUUGCUCCUGAUAUUGUUUUUCCUUUUUCUGUUUGAUUUUGGUCUAUAAUGUUAGCAAGUUGGACGGAUCAAUAUUGAAUUGUAACCUGACAUGCUCCUGCUAUAUAAUCACUUCCAGAUUUCAAGCUCCUAAUUUUGGAGUUCA